rnacentral:rRNA from 1 species
AGAGUUUGAUCCUGGCUCAGGAUGAACGCUGGCGGCGUGCCUAAUACAUGCAAGUCGAGCGAACGGACGAGAAGCUUGCUUCUCUGAUGUUAGCGGCGGACGGGUGAGUAACACGUGGAUAACCUACCUAUAAGACUGGGAUAACUUCGGGAAACCGGAGCUAAUACCGGAUAAUAUUUUGAACCGCAUGGUUCAAAAGUGAAAGACGGUCUUGCUGUCACUUAUAGAUGGAUCCGCGCUGCAUUAGCUAGUUGGUAAGGUAACGGCUUACCAAGGCAACGAUGCAUAGCCGACCUGAGAGGGUGAUCGGCCACACUGGAACUGAGACACGGUCCAGACUCCUACGGGAGGCAGCAGUAGGGAAUCUUCCGCAAUGGGCGAAAGCCUGACGGAGCAACGCCGCGUGAGUGAUGAAGGUCUUCGGAUCGUAAAACUCUGUUAUUAGGGAAGAACAUAUGUGUAAGUAACUGUGCACAUCUUGACGGUACCUAAUCAGAAAGCCACGGCUAACUACGUGCCAGCAGCCGCGGUAAUACGUAGGUGGCAAGCGUUAUCCGGAAUUAUUGGGCGUAAAGCGCGCGUAGGCGGUUUUUUAAGUCUGAUGUGAAAGCCCACGGCUCAACCGUGGAGGGUCAUUGGAAACUGGAAAACUUGAGUGCAGAAGAGGAAAGUGGAAUUCCAUGUGUAGCGGUGAAAUGCGCAGAGAUAUGGAGGAACACCAGUGGCGAAGGCGACUUUCUGGUCUGUAACUGACGCUGAUGUGCGAAAGCGUGGGGAUCAAACAGGAUUAGAUACCCUGGUAGUCCACGCCGUAAACGAUGAGUGCUAAGUGUUAGGGGGUUUCCGCCCCUUAGUGCUGCAGCUAACGCAUUAAGCACUCCGCCUGGGGAGUACG